AUUGAACGCUGGCGGAAUGCUUUACACAUGCAAGUCGAACGGCAGCACGGACUUCGGUCUGGUGGCGAGUGGCGAACGGGUGAGUAAUACAUCGGAACGUGCCCAGUCGUGGGGGAUAACGUAGCGAAAGCUACGCUAAUACCGCAUACGAUCUAAGGAUGAAAGCGGGGGAUCGCAAGACCUCGCGCGAUUGGAGCGGCCGAUGGCAGAUUAGGUAGUUGGUCGGGUAAAGGCCUACCAAGCCGACGAUCUGUAGCUGGUCUGAGAGGAUGAUCGGCCACACUGGGACUGAGACACGGCCCAGACUCCUACGGGAGGCAGCAGCGGGGAAUUUUGGACAAUGGGCGAAAGCCUGAUCCAGCCAUGCCGCGUGCAGGAUGAAGGCCUUCGGGUUGUAAACUGCUUUUGUACGGAACGAAAAGGUUUGGCCUAAUAAGCUGAGCUCAUGACGGUACCGUAAGAAUAAGCACCGGCUAACUACGUGCCAGCCGCCGCGGUAA
rnacentral:rRNA from 1 species